UACGUAGGGUGCGAGCGUUGUCCGGAAUUAUUGGGCGUAAAGAGCUUGUAGGCGGUUUGUCGCGUCUGCCGUGAAAGCCCAGGGCUUAACCCUGGGUCUGCGGUGGUACGGGCAGACUAGAGUGUGGUAGGGGAGACUGGAAUUCCUGGUGUAGCGGUGAAAUGCGCAGAUAUCAGGAGGAACACCGAUGGCGAAGGCAGGUCUCUGGGCCACUACUGACGCUGAGAAGCGAAAGCAUGGGGAGCAAACAGG
rnacentral:rRNA from 1 species